rnacentral:rRNA from 1 species
UACGUAGGGUGCAAGCGUUAAUCGGAAUUACUGGGCGUAAAGCGUGCGCAGGCGGUUCUAUAAGACAGAUGUGAAAUCCCCGGGCUCAACCUGGGAACUGCAUUUGUGACUGUAGAGCUGGAGUACGGUAGAGGGAGAUGGAAUUCCGCGUGUAGCAGUGAAAUGCGUAGAUAUGCGGAGGAACACCGAUGGCGAAGGCAGCUCGCUGGAACGGUACUGACGCUGAGGCGCGAAAGCGUGGGGAGCAAACAGG